UUCUGUGGUUUCUACAUGAUUCAGCAUCCCAAAGAUAGCAAGGAAUCCUAAAAGACUGAACAGAGAAGCAGUCAGCGGAUGGGCUCUAGUCUAACACUGUGGAAACAGAAUUGGAAGUCAAAUACGUGCCAAAAUGUAAUGCUGAUAGCAUGUACAUUCAAAGAACAUAUAUAGCAACCACACUUCAGUGCUGAUUGGGCAGGGUUUCCAUAGCAAUAUGAUUUAUUUCCAGUAGAAUUUUUCAACUGAAAAGAGUAAGCUUCCCCUCAUUAAAAGAAAUAAAUAAAAAGUUCAUCAAUAUUUAUUUUUCCAUUAUACACAGAUCAUAAUGCCUGGUUAUGGCAAAAAGACCGCAAUUCCCACCAGAGAGCAAAAAGGAAGUAAAGCUACCAUUGUUGAUCUGAAACUAAAUGGAUUCUUGUCCGUUGUGAGGAGCAGCAGCCUACAAAGCACACUGAAUGCCAAAUGUGUUGCACCAGGGCUACAGACACACCCAGAUGUUUUUAAUCUAUGCAAAAUAAUGAUGGAUACUUGCUACCUUCUUCAACUAAUUUUCAAGAUGUAUUUAUAUAAAAUAAAAGAGUCUUUUAAAGCACAA